UACGAGGGGGGCUAGCGUUGCUCGGAAUCACUGGGCGUAAAGGGUGCGUAGGCGGGUCUUUAAGUCAGGGGUGAAAUCCUGGAGCUCAACUCCAGAACUGCCUUUGAUACUGAGGAUCUUGAGUUCGGGAGAGGUGAGUGGAACUGCGAGUGUAGAGGUGAAAUUCGUAGAUAUUCGCAAGAACACCAGUGGCGAAGGCGGCUCACUGGCCCGAUACUGACGCUGAGGCACGAAAGCGUGGGGGAGCAAACAGG
rnacentral:rRNA from 1 species